CUUGUGGACACCAAAACAGGCUGAAAUUCCAGGCAGUCUUUUUCAAACAGCUCUAACACUAAAGAGCAUCAUCAUAAUUUAACAUUUUCACAGUAUUAUUCCAUCCUCAUAAUAUGGAAAUAGAUUAAAAUAAAAAACAAGUACAUCACUUUUUUGACUGCACGGGUCCUUUAAGGUCAGGGUGCGGUUAGGGUUGACUGAUCCUAAAUCUGUGGUUAUUUAGAGGCAACCUACCAUACGUUUUCUAGGACGUCACAAUCAGGAUGCAUCUCAAACAGGCAUUGGCCUGUCCAGUAUACACACAAACCUAUUAUUCAUGGAGAACUGAUCAUGUUUUUAUACGAUGUUUUGUAUAUCAUGAUUUAUUCAUUUCUCUUUUUGGGAGAGGAUGUCUUGAUUCUUCUGUUGGAUGUGUACAGAUCCUCUUCACCUUACAUUUUAUUUUAUUUUUACAUUUUUUUUUUUUUUGUGCACGACCAUUUUAAAACGGAGCAUAUGUCAUGAAAAUUCCUCCUCGUUUUUAAUGAAGAAUUGAUGAUGAUGAUAGUGAAGAUGAUUAUCAGGGACAUGACCCCUGACCUUAGUGACGGUUGUGGGGUUCAAGGUCGGGGUUCAGGAGUGGGGUUGUGUGAGGGUCAUGAUAUAAAAAAUACAUGGUUCAAUCUGAAAGUUGUACUCAUUAGGUCUGUUCCAGUCGAGCUUGCACACAACAACCAAUGGUUAUAUGCCACGUCAUGGACUUCAGUCGGGUAUCAGAUUGCUACAUCCGAUGGUAUCUGUUUCCCAGACACAGAUUUGUCCUGGACUAAACAUUCUCCAUGGAGAUUUUUCAUUGGAAUACAUUUUGAAUCAGGUACCAGACUUAAUCUGUCUGGUUAACUGGACCUAGAUGUGGUCAGCUGAUAGGUUAAACAUCUAUCCAGCCACUGAAGCGUAAUCAGCCUGGAACAUGUCCUCUGAGACGUAG